UACGAAGGGGGCUAGCGUUGCUCGGAAUCACUGGGCGUAAAGGGUGCGUAGGCGGGUCUUUAAGUCAGGGGUGAAAUCCUGGAGCUCAACUCCAGAACUGCCUUUGAUACUGAGGAUCUUGAGUUCGGGAGAGGUGAGUGGAACUGCGAGUGUAGAGGUGAAAUUCGUAGAUAUUCGCAAGAACACCAGUGGCGAAGGCGCCAAUUGGCCCAACACUGACACUGAGAUACGAAAGCGU
rnacentral:rRNA from 1 species